UGUCCAGGGCUCAGCUCAUGAGGAAUGGUUUGCCAUAUAGCCAUUGCCCCAUGGACUCACCCUGAGGCUGCUCUAGGAAGGAAGACAGCAAGAUGACAGGACAUAAUAGCUAACAGUUCUGAAAACACUCUGGCUGUGCUCCACAGCUCAUCAACUCGCACAGCGCCAAGGAAUGAAGGAGAAAGUCCAGAUGUACCAGAGUGCUGCUGAGGGACAAUCAGAUGCCAGAAAUGUGUCACUUCAAGCAGUCCUGCACAUUUCAUGAAACAUCUUAUUUGGAUAAAACUUAAAUUAUUACCACACCAGUUUCUGCACACUCCCCGCACCCCGAUCUUUUCCAAGAAUAGCCGUAACCAAGCCUGACAAACUACUGAUUUCACCAAAGCAAUUGCAAUGCCUGUUAGACAUCAGAGCCAACUGGAUGAGGCGGACCAAAAUCACAGCAGUGCUUUAGAGAGAUGUCCCUGAGAUCUGAGACACAGAGAGGCCUUCCUCCAGGCGGUCUUCACACAUGGGCUAGCAGAUCGAUAAAGAGCAUCUGGGCAUAGGAAGUAUGUAGCAUCCCCCCUCAUUUUGCUUUUUGCUGAUGUCUCUUCAGCCAAUGUCAAUGAUGAGGCAGAGCUCUGGACAUUGGAGUCUUAUGACCACUAGACUGUCUAGGCAUAGAUACAAUCAAGUCAAUGACCAGUGAUGGUAUCCGGGGUUGGAGCAGGGAAGCAUACAAUGUGAAAUACAGAGGCACUUACCAACAGAGAAGAAACAGAACAAUACCAUUCGG